UACGUAGGGUGCAAGCGUUGUCCGGAUUUAUUGGGCGUAAAGAGCUCGUAGGCGGUUUGUCGCGUCGGAUGUGAAACCCAGGGCUCAACCCUGGGCCUGCAUUCGAUACGGGCAGACUAGAGGUAGGUAGGGGAGAAUGGAAUUCCCGGUGUAGCGGUGAAAUGCGCAGAUAUCGGGAGGAACACCGGUGGCGAAGGCGGUUCUCUGGGCCUUACCUGACGCUGAGGAGCGAAAGCGUGGGGAGCGAACAGG
rnacentral:rRNA from 1 species